UGAGGAAUAUUGGGCAAUGCCCGCAAGGGUGACCCAGCAACGCCGCGUGGAGGAUGAAUGUCGUAAGAUUGUAAACUCCUGUUAGAGGGGAAGAAUAGUACCGGUUGGACCGGUAUAUGACUGUACCCUCAGAGAAAGCCCCGGCUAACUACGUGCCAGCAGCCGCGGUAAUACGUAGGGGGCAAGCGUUGUCCGGAUUUACUGGGUGUAAAGGGCGCGCAGGCGGGAUAAAAAGCCAGUGGUGAAAUCCUACAGCUUAACUGUAGAACUGCCUUUGAUACUUUUAUUCUUGAGUUCGGGAGAGAGAGACGGAAUUCCAGGUGUAGUGGUGAAAUACGUAGAUAUCUGGAAGAACACCAGUUGCGAAGGCGGUCUCUUGAUCCGACACUGACGCUGAGGCGCGAAAGCGUGGGGAGCAAACA
rnacentral:rRNA from 1 species